rnacentral:rRNA from 1 species
GGCGUAAAGAGCUCGUAGGCGGUUUGUCGCGUCUGCUGUGAAAACUGGAAGCUCAACUUCCAGCCUGCAGUGGGUACGGGCAGACUAGAGUGCGGUAGGGGAGAACGGAAUUCCUGGUGUAGCGGUGGAAUGCGCAGAUAUCAGGAGGAACACCGAUGGCGAAGGCAGUUCUCUGGGCCGUUACUGACGCUGAGGAGCGAAAGCGUGGGGAGCGAACAGGAUUAGAUACCCUGGUAGUCCACGCCGUAAACGGUGGGUGCUAGCUGUGGGCCACAUUCCACGUGGUCCGUGACGAAGUUAACACAUUAAGCACCCCGCCUGGGGAGUACGGCCGCAAGGCUAAAACUCAAAGGAAUUGACGGGGGCCCGCACAAGCGGCGGAGCAUGCGGAUUAAUUCGAUGCAACGCGAAGAACCUUACCAAGGCUUGACAUAUAGAGGAAAAGUGCAGAAAUGUACUCCCCGUAAGGUCUCUAUACAGGUGGUGCAUGGUUGUCGUCAGCUCGUGUCGUGAGAUGUUGGGUUAAGUCCCGCAACGAGCGCAACCCUCGUCCUAUGUUGCCAGCACGUAAUGGUGGGAACUCAUGGGAUACUGCCGGGGUCAACUCGGAGGAAGGU